rnacentral:ncRNA from 17 species
AUCAGGGGUUCUGGAAACGGAACCUCCGGGUCAGUCUCCGCUUACCGCAGGGAUCGAUUCGUGUUGUUACGCCCACAAGGCAGCUCGACGAGAUGGCGACUGGAACGAGGUUGUCCUGAGGGACGGGGAAGCGUUUCACGUAUCGAGUUGCACGGUGCCAAGGGCGUCCACGGGCCUGCACGCACCACCGCUCGCCUACCCGGCAGCGAGCACACGAUGCGCUUCGUCC